AAUAAUGAAACUGUUGGUCGGUUUUUACUUAGAGUUGGAGGGUAAAUGGUGCUGGGCCCUCUGGGACUACUUCUAGUCUGUCAGUGAAGCUGUGGUCUCCUGUGCUGUUUCUGAAGGACGAGGUUUAAAAAAAGUCUGACUUCUCUUUCCUUCUAAUGUUUUCAUUAUUUAUAUAGAAAUCGUCAUAGUUAUGAAUGCUAGUGAAUUUGGGGACAUGUUGAAACAUUAUUGCAUAUAAACUAAUAGGUAUGAAAAGUGAACAUAUUUCUUUGAGACUGAACUAAAUGUAGGUUUAGUUUGGGGUUUUCUCCUCUGCCCUACCCCAUCGCUGCAGUAUUUGUACCCCAGAUCACUUUGAUUUCUGCAACUUUAAUAUGCUGUUCUAGUUGUAAGAGGUAGUUCUUACUCUACGGAAAUUGUGCCCCUCCCUGGGUAAGAUGAUGUAAUGUUAGUUAUGACUCAGCCAUGCAGAAAAUUGUCUGCAGGAAGAGGUAGUAGAAGUGCUAUGAUACCCUCUUAAAGUUAAAAUUUUUAGUAGCAGACUAAAAGGAUGUUCAAGUUAUGUUUUCUGUGGCUUGAAGUUACGUUAAAAUGUGCGAGUGCCAGGCAACAACCCUGUAUUUUCACUAGGAGACUGGUUUAUGAAAUGCGAACCGCUUCCAAAUGCUUAUUCCAGACUGUCAGGAUUUUUUUCAAUUGCAUAUGCCUGUGGUGCUUCAGUAAGCACAUGGUUAAACAGGUGUCCAGUCCUGUGACCACUUGUGAGAUAGGUGUUAUGUCAGCAAUAGAAUUGUCCACUGGACUGUGAACCCUGCUGGUGUGUCAUCCCGUAUCUACCUGGAGCUAAGUAUGUAUUUGAAGAUCUGAUGUCAAAUUAAAAUUAAGAUUAGUGAGUAACAAAUUUUGCUUGCUGUGUAAGAUACCUAAAUGACAAGGGUGAUGAUUGCAUCUAGAAGACUGGUUCUCCAAGGGUGUGUAAAAGUCGGCAUGGAUAACUCUGAGUCUUGGCUUCUAGCUUAGGCUGGCUUCCGUGAUUCUUGUAACACACCCAGUUUCGUAUGUUUUGUUAUUUUUUUGUAAGGGUAACUCUUAAACUUCCACUAUGAAAAUGAAAAUGCCAAACUUACACAUAGGCAAGUGAUUUUCUAGUUCUUGUGUUGUUAAGGGGUGGCUCAUCUAUUUAAGCCAGGGAUAUACAGAUCCAAAUCUGGCAUUCUAAUUUCUUGUUAUUUCUUUUUUAAAAUUAAUUUAUUUAAUGAAAAAGUUCUUGGUGUGGAUGCUUUUAGCUCAGAGUGAUCUGAAAUGCUUUUGUAAGCUACAUUUUGGUUUAAGAAAUCAUUUUAAUUAAGUAAUUUGGCUUAGAAACUCCCUUUUAGAAGAACUUAAUGUUUGUAUUUUUUUUUUAAUGGAAGCCAGAUUGAGUUGAAGCUAGCUUUUCUUUAUUUUUAUUUAGCAUUCACAAUAAAAAAAAUCCCAGCUUUUGAGUGUGCUGCAGCAGCUAAAUUAUCUGGUGGGGGGGGUGCAUACAGGUGGAGAAUCUUGUUAAUUCAUCCUAAUCUCAAAAUGUAGUUGAAUUUCUCUUUGUAUUUAAUAAGAGAUACAUGCAUUAUUAAAACAAAUUCUUAUUUCGAGGUAUUACUAAUUUUGGGCAGCUAACAUCUUACUAAUCUUUAGUGCUGACAGUCCAUCUUUUUCUGUUAGAUUUAGAAAAAAAUGCUGUCUAGAAAAAACAAUGCCUUAGGCAGUGAUUAGCAGUAAUAAAACUAUUUUUUUAGACUUAGAUUUAAAAAGAAAAAGAAACCUUUUUUUUUAAAUUCAUGGGAUAUGAUUUUAAAAUGCUUUCAAGCAGUAGACACUACAUUUGACAUUUCUAAUUGCAUGGAAGAAUUAGAUUUAUAUUUUAAAACACAUUCUUGUUUCUUUGUUGGAAUAUUCUGUUCACAUACGUUCCUACUUACCUAGAAAGAUGACUGACCAUAUUGCUUUAUUUGGCAUUGACUUUGCCUUAACAGAGAAGAAAGAAUUAUGGUAAUAUUUAGUUGUGUUUUUAUGAACAGGAGUCUGCACAAGGCUACACGCAAGCAUAGAACUAGUGUGGUGGGUUUUUUUCUGAAGAUCCUCUCUCAUUUUUGUACAGCACAAUAGAGUCUGUAACUAUUCACAGACGUAAGAAACAAGGCUAACCAAAUUUUGACUGAUGUGAAGGAUGCCAUUAAUAAGACCUGAAGUGUUAACAAAUUUUCAAAGCUUUCGGUCACAAGUCUUAUCUAUUACAGUACAAAAGCAGCUCAGAAACUUUCGUAUCUUUUAUUAAGACUGUGAAUCUGUUGGGGCUGUUGUUGUAUCAUCAAUUGCUUGCUAGGUUCUUAAGUAAUAUUUAAUACCCUGGGGUGUUAUAUCACAGCUGAGCGUGGAAGUGAUUGGUGUCCUAACUUAGUGUUGAAGGGAGGACACCAAUUAAGAGAAUGUGACUAGCAGAGUGUGGCCAAAGCUGGCUCCUCUGCACCUUCUCACACUCUUUCCUCAUUUGUUGGAAUUGAAUUACUAGUGGGUGGGAAGAAAUAGCUCUUCUAAUCCAAUACACUAAAUAGUGCUGGGUUCUGUUCCCAGUGCUUCCACAGACUUACGGAGUGAGUAAGAGCAAUUAAUGCUGGACUCUUUUCUUGCUGCAUAACUACUAGACUCAGUGAUAAAGAUUUUAGGGGUUAUGUGGGUCAGGUCCAACUAUUUAUUUUUGUCCUUCACACUGACCUUGCAGCAGGAAAAGCCAGCAUCUGCAUCCUUGCCACUUCCUAAAUCUUCCCGGACUUGAACCUGAAGUGAAGUACCUUUCCAACUCUGCAAGCCGCUGAACUUGUGCUCUUGUUUGCUGCAGCCUUAGUGCUGCUGUACGAAUGAUAGACACCUAAAGUCUCUUGGUCCAGCACUGAUUCUGUCAGAUAUACACUGGAGUAUAUUCAGGUGUAUUAUAAUUUGGAGUUGGUCUGGUAGUGCUGAUAAACUGCAAGUAAUUGUGGCACACUGUGCAUAGUACAAGUUCCUUGCACUGUAACAAUAAACACCGAAUUUCCAAAUUGUUAAAGAAUAAUUUAGCGUGUGUUGGGAAGGAAGUCCAUUGCCAUACUUGAGCACUUUAAAUAUACUUGAGUAUGAUAGAAAGUUUCCAGCCUCAGAAAUUUCAUAUUGAUACAGGAAAUUAAGCUUUUUGUUAAGUACUUUACCUCAUGUUAGCUAAGUGUACUUCACAGCCUGUUUCACUUUCUGUAGUAGAAUAGAGGGUCUGUCUAAACCUUAGCAUAACGAUCUUCUAUUUAUCAUUUCCAUAAUAAAAAUUGUUAUUAGUCUAACAGGUGUGGAUUUUCUUCAGAAUGCUUUUUGCAGUUAAUGGGAAACAGUUGUAGCUGAAGUGGUUCAAGUUAAAUCUGUAGUAAGAUGAAUUUUUCAGCUAACAAGGAUUCUGAAGUACAGAGAAGAAUGUACGGAGAGGUCUUUGAAUAGCUACCAUCUGAUACUGCUUCCAUGUUAGAAGUUCUCAGGAGCUUUAAACUACUAGUAGCUUUCAGGCAGUUUCUGACACAAGCUAAAUGUGAACUAAUCAUUUAAAACAUGACUGGCUAUCUUCAGUAUGAAUGUAAUUCUAGAGAGUUCCACUUUCUUCCCUAGGCUGCACAUGCAGCAGUAGUUCCCGGUGUGUCUUCUGAAGUGUGCGCUGUGUGACAGUUGCCAUGUUCUUUCCCAUGCUCAGUCUGGGAAAUGUCUCUUCCUCUUCCAAGUUCCCCCACAGCCAUACCUUACAUAAAUCUUUUUGCUUAAAAUGCCCAAAUGCUCGGUUUCAAUGUGUGUGUUUGUUUGUUUUGUGGGUUGGUUGUUUUUGGUGUUGUUUUGUUUUUUCCUUUUGGUUGUUCCCUGUAAGAUUUAGAGAGCUUCCCAAAACCUUUGCUCCCUUUCAGCAUUCUGGAGUUCCUGUUGCACAUGGGUGGUACACAGCAGUUUGUACCUGCUCCCUCCCUGGCAGAAAAGGUUCAUCACCCUCUCAGCAAGAUUGUUCGUGUUCUUUUCCAGGUUGUUAUUUCUUCCAGAUGUGCUCAGAUACGUAAAAUGGUACUGCUUGUGUGCUUAUACUGUUUAGAUUUUUUUGUACUUGUUAUGGAUGCUUCACUUUUUAGAAGUGGUAAUUGCUGUGAGAAGGUGAAAUUAAAUCUCAACUAAGUGACUUUAUUUUGUGUUUCUUUCAUAUGUAUGUUGUUUGGGGGGAGUAGGAGAGGUUCAGUAACCUGUCAUGGGGCUGCAGUUCACUGGGAGAUAAGGGAGUGCCAUUCCAUUUAGAAUGCAUCUAAAUGGCUUUUUAAAGAAUAUACCACAGAAUUAAUGCCUAUUGCUGUCAUAGUCAAAUUACUGAGAGACUAUUUUCUAGUUGCCUGCGAACAUCUAACAGGUUACUAUAUUAACAUCUAUAAAACCUGUUUCUGCACUAAUUCUUAAUGACAGCAUUAGGAAACAUAGUCCUCUCAGCUAACCUAUAGGGUGGUGCUAACAAGCAGAUGAGUAGAUUGCUUAGGAGCCCCUGGUGACUGAGCAUACCAUACAACCUUCUGUGCUAUGGAAACAUCUGAUACUAACAUAAAAUUCCAUGUUUUUAUGGAAAAUUGCUGCGUUUAGCUCUGUGAUGCCUUCAUGCUUGCUUAAUUUUUUAAUUAAUCCUUUAAUUGCUUCCCUGGUUGUAGCUACACACCUUCAGAGUUUGGGGUUUUUUUGACUGUUGGGGUUUUAGUUUGUUAUUGUUUUCAUUUGGGUUUUUGUGCAGUUAAAGCACUAGAGCAAUUUGCUUUCUUUUUUUAAACAAACGGUCUUUUUUUUUAACUGUUGAAAAACUGUUGGAUCUUGGAGAAUUAAAACAUCAUUCAUGGAUCAGUUCAAAUAUGAGAUAACUUGUGUUGGUGUUCAUGUAUUCUACAGUGUUUGCAUGAUUGUUUGUAAAUUCAUGAAACUUUAGCUCAUGUUUAAAAGGAUUUUCGAUUCCAGCAUAUAGAAUUGGUUUAUCAGUGGUUGGGCUGCAUGAGCCAAAGGUGAGUUGGUACUUAUUAAUCUUAGCAAGAAGUAUAUCCAUAAUGUUGACGUGUGGUCAAUGCAUCUAUUUAUCAUAAAAUCAGCUGAGAUGCUCUGCAUAAAUGCAAAAAAAAAAAUUUAAACACGCAUUUAGCUCUACUUAAAUUAGCUGUGCAUACAUGUAUACACACAUAUACAUGUGCCUAUAUCUUCUUGCAUUUAUUGGAAGUAGAAUAAGUCUUUGCUAUAACCAAUAGUCUGUAUUAAUUUCAUUUGGCCUUAAUGUUUAAUAAUUGGUUUUGAUUUAUAAAAGAAAGUACGUAGUAUUUAUUCUGUUCAAAAGCAUCCGAGUAACAAUUGGCUGUAUUUGACAGCAGCCUUCAGCGUUCCAGUACCUUACUGCUGUUACACAGUUUUAAGCAGCAAAAUAAAAUAAAUCAAUUUGGUCACCUGUGACAGACACUCUUCUUCCGUGCUGUUGAAGCAGCAAGGAUUUCAUUGCAUGUACUUGUAAUUCUGCGAAGCUGCUAACUGUGUGUAUUUCACUGGUUGGUUACUUGGAAGGCUGAUAGUAGAAACGCUGCCCUGUUAAGAUACCAACUUUUACUGUGCCUGUGAAAGCUGUAAGUGGUAGAAAUAUAAAAUUCACAACGUGAGCAGAGUUAGUGCAUUGUCCCUGUACAUCUGUAUAAGCAGAUGCUACACUCUCUGGUUUAAUCUGGAAGCUUCUGUCUUGUUACCAUGCACUUGACACAAGUAAACAUUUCUGAAACAGGUUCUCAAACGCUUAACUUGUUCUUCACUGCAGGCAGAUGCUCCGAACCUGAAGCUGAUUCUCCUUUCAGGUGGUAGUUGACUACCGUUUUGAAAUGGUUUGAGAAAGCUUGUGCUAUUAAAGUUGGUUGAAAAGCAUUAAGAUUGUGAUUAUUUCUUAAACUUUUUACUGAAUAUCAGUGCUUGUGUAGUUGCUUAUUUUUCUUGAAAUCUGAGAGAAGAUUGGUGAUGCCUCUUCUAAUGAGAAGUAGUAAGAAUAAGUCAUGCUGCUGCUGAGAUGAAUGGUAAAUUCUUAAUUUUUUUUAAUCAGAUUUAAUGGAGCUCAAAUGGGGUAGGAGGCAGUUGUGGGUUGUACUGGUGGUGAUUUUUUCUCUGGAUGUUGUUACCCUUUGUGAUUAUGCAGGUAACAAAACAUUUAACAAUGGGAAUCUGAUCUCUAACUGAUGGUAUUCUCCUAGUGCAGAGUAGGCUUACAUGGCUAAAAUGGCUUUUUUGCUAAUAAAGUGCUUUUAUUAACACUGUAUGUUAUAACAAACCUCUGGUAGAUACAUAGUCUGGUUUAGGAGGUUUCAGAUCUGCUCAGAGUGCAAGCUGCUAAAGAUAAAUGUUUCCUACUUCGUUUCUUAUCAAGGAUAAAAAGUGUGAUAUGUUUAUGGGGUUUUUUAGUAGUGUUUCUUCAGAGACCAAAACUGUGGAGUCUUAAAACAGCUAGAACGUGUUCUCGUGCAGAGUACGGCCACAGUGUUUAUUGCUUAGACCUCCCUGUCUGGCAGAAAUUCUCAUCCAACUUUAUUGGUUUCAAUUUUGUGUUAUCUCAAGUUUCUUAGAAGAUGUUCUGUUUCUUGAAAGAGUAACGAUUGAUGCAUUUGGCACCAUUCUAUUUUGCUGCCAGUCCCCCAAUAUUCACAAAAUAAAUUAAUGAGGUGGUUAAAAAAGAAGUGAAAAUUGUGUAUUGGCUUCUCCUCAGAGAAGACUGAUUUGUGUAUUAAUGUCUAUAGCAAUGCCUCAACAAAUUAGAUACUUUAUUCCUAAUUAUUUUUCUAUUAAAUGUCUUAUUGGAUGUUGCCUUUCGUAUGAGUUUUCUCAGAGUUGGUUACUGACCUGGAGAGGUAUUUUUCCUUAUGCGUCAGAAUUCAGUUCCUUCACUGUCAUGUGCCGUUAAGCAUGCUGUGUUAAAAACCUUGUAAUUAUUGGCAUGAAUGACUCGGAGUCUUUUGAAGGGUGACCUCAUCGCAGUCUACAACUUCCUCACGGGAGGGGCAGCAGAUGGAGAGAUGCCCAUCACCUCUCUGGUGACCAGUGAUAGGACACGGGGAAAUGGGAUGAAGCUGCUUAAGGGAGGGGAAGUUCAGGUUGGACGCUGGCGAAAGGUUCUUCAGUGAGAGGGUGGUCAGUUGCUGAAAAAGGCUCCCCAGGGAAGCGAUGACAGCACCAAAGCUGUCAGAGUUCAAGGAACGUCCAGACAACGCUCUUAGUCAUAUAGGUUAGUUUUAGGUAGUGCUGCAGGGAGCAAGGAGUUGGACUUGAUGAUCCUUAUGGUUCACUUCCAACAUGAGGUACCUAUGAUUCUACAGAUAGUUUCAAAUAAUAUAUCCUAAUAUUAAGCACAUCGCUUCCCUUGCCAUGUAUACUAAUUGGAAAGUGAAGUGGUAGAAGGAACAAGGUAGUGAAGUGCACAGUAGUCCAAGUUGGGGAGGGCAGGUCUGCAAGGAGAGCUAUGUGUAUGUCUGCAAAAGUGUGGAAUGAGAGAUGUUCCUCCCCAUUGCCUCGCUUCCCAUCCUUUUCUUUUUAUGUGGACACGUAGUGUGUCAGGCUGCACAUGCCAUAUCUUCCCUCUAAGCACCCUGUAGGUAUUUUGGUGCAUACACCUGCUGAGUUAUUUCUGUCCCCCAGCAUAUGUGUCAGCAUGGAGAUGGUUUUUCUGGGUGUUAUACUUACUUCUCCCAUGUUUUUCUCUUUCUGCCCAUAUGUGAAUGCUGCUUUUGUUCUCUAAAGAAACAUGUUUAGACUGUUCUAGUAGUAUGCUUUUUAAUAAGCUAAAAUUUAUUGCCAUUUUUUCUGUUAUGCAGGAUUCCUUUUUCUGCAUUAGUCCAUUAGUUCUUUUUUUCAGUUACCCUCUCAUUACUCAGGCCUCGUUUCCUUUACUUUUUCCCUUUCUAGAUCUUCACCAGAAUGACUGCAGCAAAGCUGCUAACCCAAGUGUCCCUUCCCCUUCCCUUGGUAUUCCUGCAUGUCACAUCUCCCACUUGGCAUGAGAUUCACAAUCACAUUCCUCCCUGCCCCCUGAAGGUCCUUUGUCCCAAAUUCUGAAUUCCUCCCUUGCUCUGGUUCUUUGUUCUCACCUCAUCUUUUCCAGCCAGCCUUCUCACCUUUAUCAAACUUGUGCUGCUGUUUGUGUGGGCAGCAAAUUUGAUGGGAAGAGAGAAUAACUGGUACUGAGAAGAGGCAGCAGGCUUGUUUCCUUCUUCAGGAGAUAUUUUACUGUAAACGUCUCCAGUGCCACAGCAGCCACUAGUGUUUGACACAUUUUCUUGUAUUCCUGUUCAAGUGAGCAAAUGAGUAGAUCGAAAUCUGUAGUUAACUGUAAACACAGGCUUUGCUUUUGGCUGGAGUAGGAGGCUGACAGCAGAACAGUCCUUGGGUUUCCCUCCAAGAGGGUUGGAGGUCACCCAUGAGGCAGCAGUUGCAGAGCCCCGGCCUGGGCUCUGGGUAGAGCUAUAAUCAGAAGCAGUGUAGUGAGCCUGUCUCAUAAAAGCCUGCGUUUGGGAAGGGAUUGUCUAAAAAAUAUUCUUAAAAAUACUAAUACAUGUCAUUUUCCUCCAAUAAUUCAGGUAGACGUGUGUAAAUAAAAUAUCUGCUGGCCACAAAUGAUUUGUAUAAACCCCUUGUAGUGUGGGUGCCAAUCUGCAGCGCAGCUACUUGCACGUAUUGUUUUGUAGCCCAAUUACUGUUCCAAACUGUGGCACUGAGGCAGAAAACACAUGCAGUGAAAAUCACACGCUAGCUUUUUAUGGGAACGAUGGGUGUCUUGAGCUUGUCUGACACAAGGGGCCUACUUUAAUAACUUUGUCAUCAAAAUAAAGUCUGUAAAAUAAUAGCUUAACAACAGUGUGCUACAGUUACCAUGCUGGUUGGUUAGCAAGUUCCACUUGAAACUAGGUAUGUGUAGCUCUUCCCACAAAGCUUGCACCUGCAAACGCUGCUCUGAAUCAGUAUUUUUAAUGUCUACCUAAGUACAGCUGCUACUGAAUAUGUGUAAUUUGUUUCAAAUACUCACGCUCGGCUGCACAGGUAGUCAGAAAGCAGCAAACCAGCAUUGUAACAGCAGUCUGGGUAGGUCUGUGUCUCCUGCCACUAAGGAAGCGUUGUUGCCCUGGGAUCAUUGGAACACAAGGGGAGCUUGGUAUUCUCUGGGUUGCAGCUGGUAAUAACGUGUGCUGAGACCAAGCCUUUGAUAAAGAGAAAUACGCACAAAACUGGUAGCAACAAGGCAAAGCUGAGGUAUUGGUUUUGAUGUUCUUUAUGAUGAAUUUGGGAAUAGUCUUCUCACCCACACAAGUCAUGUGCCAAAGCACAUGAUUUUAAGACCAGAGUAGUUUUAGGCUUCAAGUGUCAGGAAAGGACCAUUCAAGUCUGUAUGGGUUGGCUUCUUGUAUUCAACUGAAGUUCUCACCACAACUUGACAAACUGAAACAUUUCUACUUGCAGUAAGAAGCAGGCAGACUUCUUGUAGAGGGUUGGGUGUUGUGUUUUCUUACACACAAUUACUACUUUUUAUGUUUCCUUAACACUCUUGAAUCUGACAACUCUUUACCUUUCAGACUUUAUCUUGCAAAGCUGCAGGAACAAAUCUGUAGGGUCUUUCAUCAAAACAGGCUCAAAAGAUGUGCUUAAUGUUGCCAUCUGUUGACUGUGUCCUGCUCUGGCAAAGAACACUUUUAAGAAUGAAGAAAGUGAAUCUCCCAUCAGGCUAAUGUUUUAAAAACAGGAUUGAAGUUGCUAAUAGUAUAAUAAAGUGUGCAUGUAGCCUCGGUUAAAUCUUUAAAGACAUUUAAAUAAAUACUAGUGCAUACUUGCUGAGGGUGGGGGAACGUGCCAGAUUUAUGAGAUUUGUUAUCUCUGGUAUGUGUGAGCAUAGCUGACAUCUUCUGAGUGUGAAUGUGCUGUCUUUCCCAGUCCAGAGAACCAGAAAGCUGUUAACUUAGUCAUAAUCACCAUUGCAGAUGUGAAGUGUUGAAGCCUGAUCUUUUAACAGCCAGUGUACUGGUAAGAGUUGAUAUUUAGUACAGGCAUCUUUGUGUUUUAAAAAGGUAGUAGUUUUCCAUUAAGUCUUUCUAGAAAGACUGUAUAAGACUUUGCUAUGAGAAGUAUUAGAAGCACUUGUACAAGCUGUUACAGGUUUUGGCUGAAAAGUGCUAUAAGAUGCUGCUGCAUCUGCCUAAUUGACUACAGUGCUGUGGUUUGUUUCACAGCACUUAAGAGUCUUGCUGUCAAAUUAAAAGCUCUGACAGUUACAGCUGAGUAGUUGUGGGGCUUGGAGGGCUGGGAGCGGUGGUUUGAUUUUGUAUGAUAAGCUAUUUCUACCACAUUCUGAUCGAGGCACUGUAAUUAACUGCCCAUGGAGUUGUAGUUAGUGCAUAUUAGUAUAUGUAAAAAAUGGAAAAUGGAUGGGGAUUUAGCACAAUAGGAGAAAUGUCAUGAAUGAGCAUGAAGGUGUAACAUGCCAUGUAGCUAUAAAUUCAUGUGCUAUAUGGACUUCAGUUGUCAGGGUGUUGUGUGCAUUGCAGUGAUGUGGAUCACCUAACAAACUUAGUAAUUACAGAUCAGCUUACUGCUCCAGUCUUGGGCUAGCUGUUAGCACACAAGUGGCCCGUGUGGUGAUCAGCUCUAUACUGGUAAACAUUGUCACAUUAACUGAUAAAAGAGAAAAAGGUUAUGCAUAUAUUGAUGGUACUAUCAAAACAGUUCUUGUUUCUGUUUCUUCUGCUUCGGACAAACAGAACCCAUCAGUAGGACUUAAAUGUCAAGAUAUUCUUCCUUGUGGAAAAAUUGUAUCCUCCAGAGAAGCCUUGCAGCUAAAACUAUUUGCAAACAAAAAAGAUAAACAGUAUUCCCCAUAAGCAGAUGUGUUAGCAGAUGAAGUGUGAGAUUGGUCAUGACUUUUGUUACGCCUAACAUUUUAUGUUGUCUUCUGGAAUUGAAUUCUAAAAGGUCAGUAGUCUGUAUGGAUUUCUGUAGACACAGCGCCUCUGUGCAAGUAGCAGCUUUCACAGCCGUUCUCUAGGAUAAAUCAGUGUACUCUGAAUCUUCAGGCUGACUUUAAAGGAGUGUUUUGUGUUUACUUAUGCCAGUAAAAGAAAAUAUAUCCUGAAAUAAAAAGACUGGUACAAACAGGAGAAACCGAAUAUAUAGUGCUAGAUAAAUAAUCAGGGAGAGAUCUCCAUUCAGUAAUUUUACAUGCUAGCUUUUAAAUGUUAAUCUGCUUUCAAGUUUUGUUGUUUCUGUUUAUGAAGUAUUUGACAUAAACAAAAUUCUCCCAAAGAAAUGUGGCCUACCAGUCCUGCGAGUUGUUUAUGUAGAACAGUGUCUUUCAUCCAGAUAUGAGCAAGCUACCAGUGCAGUCUCAGAGCCAGAGCUGCUUUGCAGAGGCUAUAUUCUGUGAAUAGCUGUUGAGGGGGAUUUUCUUAGUUUGUCAGUCUUCUAGAUUCAACAUGGGUUUAAAACUUUUUUCAGUAGUGACCUAAGUGAAGUUUAAGUCUGGUAGUGUGGUUGCUGCUAUGGGAGUGAGCAGAGCUGUACUUUUUAAUCAAACAACCUUGUAUGCAGAUGAUGAAUAAUUUCUUUCUCUAGAAUCCCUGACAGUAUUUUGGUCUGACCAGUUAAUGAAGGGUAGAGAAGGAGGGCAACUCCCCAUAGUGCAGACUGACAGACCUGACUUAAUUGCAGUCCUCCAGAGAAGCGCUAAUAAGGAGCCUUAUUCUCAGUAGCUGGGAACCUUGAGUUGUCUUUGAAGUCAGGGUUUCUUGGCACUGAUGAAUGGCACCUGUGAAUCUUGAAGUUCUCUGACGGCGAGAGCAGAACGUGUAAGUAGUUCCAGGGAGCUGAAGCGUGUCAGCCGUGUACCUCAUGGCCUUGUACUGUGUUCCAGCUGUGCUGGGGCAGAGGGGGCUCCCAGCCCUUCUCAUCACAUCGUGGUGUGCCACCCAGAAGGGUGCCCUUGGCACCAGGUGGCUCAGCAGCCCAUUAGACUGGCUCCUUCAAAAUACUUGUCCUGCCCACUUGGCUUGUGUUGUGCUUUCUCUGUUACCAAAGGAUUGUCUCUGCUGUUAUUCAUGUGAUGGGAAGCAAGUACAUGCAGUAUUUAUUUUGUCUCCCUGCUUUGUUAUAAUAUGAAGCUAUAUACCAACCCCAACAAUACUGGAAUACUUGUUGUUAAAGAUCAUUGAAUAAAUACCUUCCAUUUUGUUGAAAGCAAUGAAGAAAGUCCACUAAUGGGUUUUUAUCUCAUUGGAGCAUAGGCAUAGCUGAACCUUGCCUGAUUUUGGUUUCCGUUAGACAGACUUUUUCAUUACCUGAGCUGCUGAGAUAGAAAUGAGAAAGCUGCCAUAAUAGGUCAUUUUGUUUUGAAAGGUUGUACAUGGUUGAGGCUACCAAGCUCAAUAUUCCUGAUUUAUAUAAAGCAAUUAGCAAUACAUAAAAAAAAAAAAAAAAAAAUAAAAA